rnacentral:rRNA from 1 species
UACGUAGGCAGCAAGCGUUGUUCGGAAUUACUGGGCGUAAAGAGUGUGUAGGCGGUGUUCUAAGUUUGUCGUGAAAUCUCCCCGGCUUAACUGGGAGGGUGCGGGCGAAAACUGGAAUGCUAGAGGAUGGGAGAGGUAAGCGGAAUUCCUGGUGUAGCGGUGAAAUGCGUAGAUAUCAGGAGGAACACCUGUGGUGUAGACAGCUUACUGGACCAUUUCUGACGCUGAGACACGAAAGCGUGGGUAGCAAACAGG